GUGGCUCGUCUUCCUCCCCUCUCCCCACACAUCGACGGGCGGGUGGGUGGGUUCUGACUUGCGCUUGCUUGCACGGUUGCCUGGCGAACUAGCGUUGUCUGGAUUCAGCGCUUUGUUCCCAGCUAAUCUUUGUAACGCACUACCGUAUCAGUCACUGUCCCCUGGCCAAUUCCGGUCUGCUCCUCCCGCGCCGCACUUGCCGUACUACACUACAGGACGAGCACUUAAUCAACAUGCAUUGCUUAAACGUCAUCGCGUGAUCCGUACUCACUACUAACUUAUUGUGGGGAAGGCC
rnacentral:lncRNA from 1 species